UCAACAUUUCUCAUGAUCCACUCUCCCUCACGCCUCUCACAAACUGACCAGUGCAGCACUCAAACUAUAAUUUCUCACACUUGAAUCGAAAGAUCUUGAUGUAUAUGAAAUGAAUGUUCGCGCGUUUACAGCUGAUGAAUAUAGUGGGUUGGAUCCAGACAUACGUGGCAGCUACCUAGGUUUCACAGAAAAGGUCAUUAGUAUCAUUGAGUGCUACUGAUGAGCAACCAACAAAGCUGGUGUACCACAGGAAGGGUGAUGGUAGGAAGUAGAGGAAGGUUGCCGAAUAUUUGUUAUGUAGGAAGUUGGGAUUUGUGUUGAAGGAAUAUUUGUUGGGACAGAUGGCAUGUUAUGAUAGGAUGUAGGUGGAAUUCAGUUAGAGCAAAGAGGUGACAGGAGAGAAUAAAAAGAGGAGGAGAGAAAUAGAAAAGGGCAGAGAAUUAGAAAGUAAAUUGGAAGGGAGGCUGCUGACCCUCGAAGUCAGUAUUUGUGGAGGUGGCUGACCCUCGAAGUCAGUCUUUUGAUUAUCUUUUCUAGGUUGUAUUUUGCAUUACUUUUUCUGAGUUAUUUGCUUAUUAAAUACUGAGGAUAGGACUACUGGAAUAUAUAUAUUCUAUGGAUGUAUUGUUCUGUUGAGGUUAAUACAACAGGGUCCUCUUACUGUUUUGUGAUUUUGGCUUGUGAGUGUAGAUUGUUGUUGGUAGUUUGGUUGAUUUGCAGGUCAGGUCCUAUCAAGUGGUAUCAGAGCAUCGUGGUCUGGGUAAUGGUCUUGACGAGGAUGAAUUCUAAACUUGAUAAUGUUGAGAGAAAGGUUACAAAGCUGGGAGUUGAAAUGGGUACCAUCCGGGAGUGUUUGGUGGAGUUACAAUCAUGGGUACGACGAAAGAAUGAAGAAGAGGUGGGUAGAGCAGAGGUACGUUCAACAGAAAAUGUUCAGUCUCACAACGAAGAAAAUGUAAAUGGAGCCAGUGGGUCUGGGAGCAGUAACCAAAACUGCAAUGAAAUAGGGGGGAGAAAUUCUGUUUUUAAUCCAUUUACAAACGCGGCUUGUAGAAUCUCUUCUUUCUCCCCUACCAAGAGAGCUGCUACUGCUUCAAACUGACGACGGAAUUCCACCAGCUACCCAAACAUGUCGAAUGCAUGUAUUGAAGAUGCAAAAGAAAUCCAAAAGUGAUGUCGAAUGCAUUGGUCUUGUUCCUGGUAUCGACACAGGUUUUCUUCAACCAUUUCUAUAGAACAUACUGCAAUCUAAAGCAAGGACAAUGAGAUAUGCGAAAAGACCGGAGUAACAUACUGCAACUUAUAAUGGGAUCAUUGAUAUCUCUCAGAUAAUUAGAAACAUCACCUCAACUGCUGCUCUAAACUCAUAAAAUGUCCACUUUUUUUUUUGUCAUCAAAACUUAUAUACUCUAUAAUUGUAAAACGUUCAGUAUUUUUUAUAGUCUAUAAUUAUAAAUUAA